UACGUAGGGUGCGAGCGUUGUCCGGAAUUAUUGGGCGUAAAGAGCUCGUAGGCGGUCUGUUACGUCCGCUGUGAAAACCCAGGGCUUAACCCUGGGCUUGCAGUGGAUACGGGUAGACUAGAGGCAGGUAGGGGGAGAAUGGAAUUCCCGGUGUAGCGGUGAAAUGCGCAGAUAUCAGGAGGAACACCGGUGGCGAAGGCGGGUCUCUGGGCCGUAACUGACGCUGAGGAGCGAAAGCGUGGGGAGCGAACAGG
rnacentral:rRNA from 1 species